rnacentral:rRNA from 1 species
UGGGGAAUAUUGGACAAUGGGCGAAAGCCUGAUCCAGCCAUGCCGCGUGUGUGAAGAAGGUCUUCGGAUUGUAAAGCACUUUAAGUUGGGAGGAAGGGCAGUAAGCGAAUACCUUGCUGUUUUGACGUUACCGACAGAAUAAGCACCGGCUAACUCUGUGCCAGCAGCCGCGGUAAUACAGAGGGUGCAAGCGUUAAUCGGAAUUACUGGGCGUAAAGCGCGCGUAGGUGGUUCGUUAAGUUGAAUGUGAAAGCCCCGGGCUCAACCUGGGAACUGCAUCCAAGACUGGCGAGCUAGAGUAGGGCAGAGGGUGGUGGAGUUUCCUGUGUAGCGGAGAAAUGCGUAGAUAUAGGAGGGAACACCAGUGGCGAAGGCGACCACCUGGGCUCAUACUGACACUGAGGUGCGAAAGCGUGGGGAGCAAACAGG